AACAAUCGAUUGUCAGGCUUUAACAAUCGAUUGUCUGGUAUUCCAAAAUAACUGCCAGAAUAUUUAACGUCUCAGACAAUCGAUUGUUUAAGGCAACAAUCGAUUGUCUGACUGGCAGUGACCAAAAAAUAAUUUCCAGGUCAGGCUUUAACAAUCGAUUGUCUGGUAUUCCAAAAUAACUGCCAGAAUAUUUAACGUCUCAGACAAUCGAUUGUUUAAGGCAACAAUCGAUUGUCUGACUGGAAGUGACAUAAUUUCCAGAAUAAUACAUGAUUUUCAACAUGGAUCUUAAACAUAAAAAACAUGUUGUUAUCCUUCUAAAAUCAUGCUAUUUACAAUGUUUUAACAUCAUAUUAAAACAUCAAAUCAAAAC
rnacentral:lncRNA from 1 species